ensembl:lncRNA
GGAUGGAGCAGGUUUAAGUUUAUUAGAUUGAUCAGUGUUGCUGAACUAUGAAAUAUUUUGGGUGCAGUGUAUUUUUUACAUACAAGUAUAACAGAAUAGCUUUAGUGUUGUUGUUUAUUUAAACUUGAGUAUGAACUUAUACAAAAUGCAGCAAGAUAUUAAAAAAACAGUUUUAUUGAUUAAAAAACACUAUAUCAGAUUCAUAUCGGUAUCGGCAGAUAUCCAAAUUUAUGAUAUCGGUAUCGGACAUAAAAAAGUGGUAUCGUGCCAUCUCUAAUUAUAACCCGGUUACAUAAGGGUGGACAGUCCAGUGUUGCCCUGACGGUGGAGCUGUAACACAGAGUUUGGGUCACAGAGGCAGAGAUAAUGUCAAACAAGUUGAUUAUUUAUCAAUAAACAAACAUGGAUUUGUAUUUCGUGCUGGUGAACGUGGCGCUGUGGGAGCUGAGAGUGUUAUGAUGCUUCCGGAGCUUCAGGCGAAGACCCGUCAUCUCAGAUCUGAAACAGAGAAACAGUCGAAUAACCACAGAGUCACAUGAUCACUCUGUCACGCUGGUUCUGGCGUGUUUCACAAGUUCACACACCACUCCGCACCAUCGUCAUGAAAAAUUCAAAGUUUUACCAAAUAAAGGUAAUUUUAUAAAAUGUUCUCCCUUAAAAAAAUAACGAAAUCAUUCUUCUUGCUUCAGCUGGCGCUCUGCUGCUGUCUCAGUGUGAGUAAAGUGAGGACAUUUCUACAGCUUCAUUUAGAAAAAGCAGGUUCAUCACCUCCCAUGUUGAUAUCAGCCAGUUGCUGAGUCAGAUGCUCAGCCAGAUCGUUCCUGGCGAUGGCCCUAAAAAUGUCAGUGGUGAAGACCACGGCCUGAUGGGGGUGAUGCUGCACCAUCAGAUCCACAGUUUCAUGUCGGUCUGCCCUCUCCAGCUUGUAUGCAGGUAUAUCCCGCAUCCUGCAUCCCAGUUGCCACUUGAAACUGGUAAACUGCUCCUCAGUCAGUCUGUUCAGCUCUUGCAGGAGCAGUAUCAUGACCUGUGCCCUGUUAAAAAUCACACAACUUUAGACUCCUGCAGAAGAAAAUCGGAAAACUCAGCAUUAAAAUAAUUCUGCUUUCCUCUAAGACAGACACUUCCUCACAGCCAAUCACAUAGCAGCAAUCGGUCAGGAACGCCUCCUAAUGUCAGGAAGUGAAACAGAAAGGGCCUGCAGCGCUCUACAAAGGUGGAUGGUCGUCUUAUAGAGAUAAGAUUGAUUUCAGAAAGCAUGAACAUAAACUGAGUCGCACACACGCAACAACAUAACCACGAACACCCUCCCCACCCUCUUCAGCAAGCUUCAGACAAUUUUCCAACGACUUCCUCCUCGCAAAAGCACCGAAGAGUUUCAGGAAGAAGACGAACGCGAACGGAUCGUUACGCUGAUCAUGCGAAUAGUUUAAGGGUUCAUACAGGAAGUUUCACUGGCACAUGUUUAUCCUAAUCACGUCCAUAUGGAGGAAGGUCGACAGCAGAACCUCAUUACCUCAUUAAAAGUUAAAAGUUCUUUAAACACUCACUGAUUUUCUUCCAUCGUGCUGCGUCCGCUAGCUCUGAAGAAGGAGGAGGAGCUCUGUGACGUCAACACGCAAAGACUCCUGGGAAGAAUUUGCCCCUGGAGCUUCAUCCUUCGUUUGAAGACAGACGAAUGUUCUCUGUGGAAACUGUUCUGUGUCUGGCUUUAGCUCUCAGUGAAGCAGAUGCAGUUUGUUGGCAGUAGGCUGUGUUGCUACACGGAUGUUUUAGAGCGUGACACACAGGAAUGAGCGUGCUGUGAUGACACACUGUAUGUUGCUAUGUAACGCAGCAGAGUCAGUCUGAGCCCCUGUUAUGAAUACCCUGUUGGGUGGUCUGGAGUCUGUUACAAAUGAAACUAGAAUACAACAACUGCAGAGGUUUACCUGAACACAGGUGUGCUCUCAGUCUGUGUCACGGUUCUGGAUCUUUGACCCAGGGAUUUGUGUUUAUGGACUUCUCCAUCUCAUUUCCUGGUUUUGUUUUCUUGUGCUUAUGUUGUUUGGUGAUUAUUUGAGGUUGUUGAGUUUCCUUUCUGUGUUGUCUCCAUGUUUAUUCACCCGUCAGUGUUUCCUCUGCUCUUCGUCAGACUGUUGAUCUACCCUUGUGGUUCUUCACGGUCCGUGUUCUCCGUUCCCUGCGUUUGUCAGCUUAGGUUUUCUGUUUUAGUUUUGUUUUGCUUUUUAGUUCUGUAUUUUCUCCCAAUCAGCCUUAAUAAAUCAAUAGCUCAGCUUCAGUUAACUCCUUCCUGCCUAUAAUCGUCUGCAUUUGGGUCCUCGCUUUGCACGAUCUGUGUCUCAUUGGAUCUUAUUUAAAGGUGGUUGGUGGUUUUUGGUGGUUCGAUCCCCGGCUCCUUGUAAUGAGAGACAGAGGGAAGACGGCCCAGUCACAGAACACAGAAGACCAAGGUUAAAGUUCAAAAUGCAAAAAUUCAAUCCAACUGGACAUCAGCCAGAGAAGCAAAUAAUUCCGGUAAGGGGUAAAAUCCGACUUCCCAAAAGUGACAGACGAGGAGAUAAAACAGACUGAAGUGCAGCGUGACCACUGACAGACAAAUAAAUGAUUGAACCAGAACAAACACACUGCUUGGCCUACAGAUCGAUGACAUCAACACCAACGUCCAUGAACUACAGGAGUCCUGGCCUGACGAGGUGGCUCUUCUGUGUUGUAGCCAGAGGUUGUUUGGUUUCCCCGAUGUAUAAAUCCUGGCAAUCCUCCUGCACUUAACAGCGUACACUAUGUUACUCUGU